rnacentral:rRNA from 1 species
CCUACGGGAGGCUGCAGUGGGGGAUAUUGCACAAUGGGGGGAACCCUGAUGCAGCGACGCCGCGUGGGUGAAGAAGCGCCUCGGCGCGUAAAGCCCUGUCAGCAGGGAAGAAAAUGACGGUACCUGAAGCAGAAGCCCCGGCUAACUACGUGCCAGCAGCCGCGGUAAUACGUAGGGGGCAAGCGUUAUCCGGAUUUACUGGGUGUAAAGGGGGCGCAGACGGCGAUGCAAGCCAGGAGUGAAAGCCCGGGGCCCAACCCCGGGACUGCUCUUGGAACUGCGUGGCUGGAGUGCAGGAGGGGCAGGCGGAAGUCCUGGGGUAGCGGUGAAAUGCGUAGAUAUCAGGAGGAACACCGGUGGCGAAGGCGGCCUGCUGGACUGCAACUGACGUUGAGGCCCGAAAGCGUGGGGAGCAAACAGGAUUAGAUACCCCAGUAGUC